rnacentral:rRNA from 1 species
CCAUCAUUCAGUUGGGCACUCUAGCGAGACUGCCGGUAAUAACCGGAGAAGUGGGGAUGACGUCAAAUCAUCAUGCCCCUUAUGACCUGGGCUACACACGUGCUACAAUGGUUGGUACAACGAGUUGCGAGUCGGUGACGGCGAGCUAAUCUCUUAAAGCCAAUCUCAGUUCGGAUUGUAGGCUGCAACUCGCCUACAUGAAGUCGGAAUCGCUAGUAAUCGCGGAUCAGCACGCCGCGGUCAUCGUCCGGCCUU